ensembl:snRNA U6 U6 spliceosomal RNA
GUGGUUGCUUUAGCAGCACACAUACUAAAGUUGGAACAAUACAGGGAAGAUUAGCAUGGCCCCUGAGCAAGGAUGACACACAAAGUCAUGAAGAAUUACAUACUUUU